AUGAUACUGCCAUUAUGACCAGCCUAAUUGUCUGAAGGGUAAUGAGACGGCCCGGUGCAUCCUCCACGUCAGUUUUGUCCACCACCAUCACUAAUCAUUUUCACAACAAACCUCAACCGCGUAUAAGAAAACAAAAAAAAACUCAACAUGUCCCCUUUCCGAGCACUAGUUCACCUCACUCUUCUCUCUCGUUUCGUCCCUCCUCUUUCCUUCCCGAUUCAGAUUAAAUCCGGCAACAUAUCGAGCUCCGACAACCACUCGGGCUCCGACUCAACGUCAAGGACUUGGC
rnacentral:lncRNA from 1 species